rnacentral:rRNA from 1 species
ACCUGAUCCCUUCCCGAACUCAGAAGUGAACCCUCUUAGCGCUGAUGGUAGUGUGGGAUUACCCAUGUGAGAGUAAGUCAUAGCCAGCU